UUGGAUAGGAGGGCUCGAAGGACGAGCACGCUAAGCUCUACCUGAGAAACGCCCGACACCCCGUCUGCAUCUAUGGCGACCGCCGCCAGAACAUCGACACCCCGUCUACGUCGACGGCGACCGCCGCCGCCGGCACCAGAUCGGCCCGAUCCUGCACCAGGUCGGGCAUGUCCUGCAUCGCAGGCGACCGCAGCCGCCAGCAGAUAGGGAAGUGCUGCAUCGCCACAAGGUCGAUGCCACCACCAGGUCUACGCCGCCACCAAUCUUGCCGCCAGUCAUGGAAGGUCAAAGCUCUGGUCAGGAGGAGCGUGAACAGUAUCGCCUCCUGGUUAGAAACACCUUCAUAAGUGAGGACGAACGAUAUGAGUUCUACAAUGAGUAUGCUAAGAUCAAAGGGUUUAAAGUAUUACGAAGGAGGAGGUGAAAGAUAUUAGAAAGGUGAUUGUUGUGUCUGCAUUGACAAGCCAUAUUAUCCCGCUUAUUGAACGGACUGGCAGUGUUCUGAUGUAGCACGUAAUUGUCCAACUGUUGUUGUCCUAGCGUCAGUUGUUGUUAAUGGAUUGUGUUGUAAACUUUUAAGUAAUUCUUGACCGUGACAUUUAAGUAUUUUUUACACCCUUGGUGUUUUCAUUA